UACGGAGGGGGCUAGCGUUGCUCGGAAUUACUGGGCGUAAAGCGCACGUAGGCGGAUUGUUAAGUCGGGGGUGAAAUCCCGGAGCUCAACUCCGGAACUGCCUUCGAUACUGACGAUCUUGAGUCCGGGAGAGGUGAGUGGAACUGCGAGUGUAGAGGUGAAAUUCGUAGAUAUUCGCAAGAACACCAGUGGCGAAGGCGGCUCACUGGCCCGGUACUGACGCUGAGGUGCGAAAGCGUGGGGAGCAAACAGG
rnacentral:rRNA from 1 species